CGUUUGGACUUAUAAAGUCAUAAUACACGUUGAUUAUAAGCAUAUGCGGACGAAGAUGACCGGACAUCUUUUCGCGCGCUUCUUCUGUUCAGCGACGACGCUAAUUUUAGGCUCAAUGGUUUGCUGCUGUUUAUGGGCUGGUGGUAUCAUUGGACCGUACUUCUUUCAAUAUGAUGCGAAUCGUAACGUAACUGUGAAUGGUAUGCGCUACCGUGAGUUGAUAUCCAACUUUUUUUUUGCCCAAAAUGCAAUAGUUUGACUUGUAUGACAUGUGGUUUCAACAAGACUGUGCCACAUGCCACACAGCACGAGUAAUAAUGGACUUAUUGAGUGUUGAGUUCGGUGAAGAUCGUGCGAUUAACGCCAUAAGACUAUUUUUUGUGGGGCUAUGUUAAAGCUCAUGUCUAUAAAAACAAGCCCAUUUCAAUUGACGCAUUGGAAGACAAUAUUGAAGCAUUUAUUUGUGAGAUACCGGUCGAAAUGUUGGAAAAGUAUGUCGAAAUUCGACUAUACGGAUGGACCAUUUGAGGCGCAGUCACGGUCAACAUUUGCAUGCAAUAAUCUUCAAAUAUUAAAUUAUAUGGGCCGUACUAUCUAUUCAAAUAAAAAUUUCUUGCAUUUUUAUGAA